AGUGAGCAACUCUGCUUAUAGUGCUGAGGACCCAGCAGCUUAUGUCAGCAGAAAGAAAGGAGGAAAACGGCAGACAUCACAUAGUAUAUGAGAAGACUUGCUAGUGAGCCCACAUGAAACACCCUUGGAGACUCUGAGAAUUGAAGGUGGUCUACAAGGGGGCUUAUAAUAGUAUAUGAGUAUAAAGGCCAAAGAAAAAUUAGUAGUAUGAUCUCACUUUUAUUCUCAGUUUGAUGCUCUUGGGAAACACCAAUCAGUUUUAUCAACAAAAGAGAAGGAUUCAUAUGUAUAUUAAAAUUACAUAUAUUCAUAUAUAUAGUGAUUAUUUAAAUUCAUAGGCUACUUUUUUAUUAUGUCCAACCAGGGACAUAAUCAAGGUCCAAAAGGUAAAAAAAGCAACCUCAGGUAACUGGAGAGGUCUAAUCUCACUCAAGCAUUCUGUAUUUAGUCUGAGGAAAUAGCCCCAUUUCCUAAAAUUUCCUAUUCUCUUCUCUGUCUCAUCAUUUUAAGAGACAGCAUCUGAAAGAAAAAAAGAGUCAGAGAAAGCUGAGUGGCUCUACUUUUUACCAGCUGGUGAUCUUGAACAAGUUAAUUAACAUCUCUAAAUCUCAGGGUCCUCAUAUAUAAAAUGGGGGAUAUAAUACCACCUACACCAUAGAUAUUUGGGGAAGUUAUAUGUAUUAGAUCUGUAAAGUGAGUAGUGAAAUGCCUUUCAUCAUAGGUACUCAGUCAAUACUACCUCUUUGGUAUUUUUCAUGACUUUGGGCUGAGCCCGCGGAAGAGACCACCAGGGAUGAUGUCGGAAAGGCAAGUGCCCAUGAGAGCUCUUAAAGAAGCCACUCUAUUUGCACAAUUUCUUCUUGGCUUCUCCAUAUGUUGCUGUUUCCUGACCAUGAUCCAUUUGCUGCCUUCCUUGCCUCUUCAUUGUAUGAGUCAUGCCAUCACAGGUGCCAUGUGGCCUUGGACUCCUAACACCCAGUGGCGUAGGGAAGGUCUCCCCAGGAGCCUACAUCCAGUUGCAGAGCCACCACUUACACCUUGGCUGUGCCCUCUCCACCAAGAUUCUCUGAGCAGGGACUGAAGCCAACACAUGAUGCCUAUUGAAGAUAAAGAAGAAGUCCAAUAUCCUACCCUAGCAGCACUCCCAAGUCCUUUUAAUACAAUUUCAUCUUAUACAUAAAGAGAAGGGAAAAGUCCCUGGUGUAAUGGAUGUAGGGAUCUGUGACCCUGAUGUCUACGGAAGUAGGCUAUGCUUAUAAAAAUUUCUCCUUCAUUUGGAACCAAGUUGCCUCCAAAGAUAAAGAUUAAAUGGAAUUUAAGACAUCCUGGGAGUCCAAGCACCAGUACCCAAAGCAAGACCUUCAAAAAUCAGAUCUCAAGUUAGAGUUCUGGUAAUUCUUUCAAAAAAUAAAUAAAUGUAAACAUAGGCUGUCA
rnacentral:lncRNA from 12 species